AGUUUCUUUACGCUCCACCUCCUGUCUAGUUUAGGAUAGAAUAUGUUACAUAACAAUUUUCGUCUCCGACAAAAAAAAAGAAUAAUAAUAAGCUAGUAUAUAACUCUUAACCAAUCUCUAAGAAAUCUGCCAAACUUGAAACUACGUCUUAAUCCAUGUUUAUAUGCCCAGAUUAAGAUUAAGAGAUUCCGCAUGGAGUGGCCAAUCAGCUAGUUUCUAUCAUUUUAUUCAUUGAAGCCUGAAAAUCAAACGGGUCUUAGUUUAUGUGGUAAACAAUAAUCUGGGCUAACAGGCUAAGAUAAGAUGUAAAAAAUUUCGUCUGAAGCUGCCAAUCAGUUUAGUUUUUAUUCAUGAAGCCUGAAAAUCAAAACGGCAACAUGUCAAACCCCAACUACAAAACUAGCAGAAAGAGUUAUACAGCUUCACAGAGUAUUUUGAACCCCACAACAGCUGAAUAUUGCUCCACAUGUCGAAUGACGGAGUGAUGCAAGGCUGAGAAAAGAACAGGUGAUACAUUUUCUUCGCUACUAUGGAAAUUUCUUCCCUGCCUGUCCUGUUUCUUCUUAUAGGGUACCAGCCCUUUUGUCCCAAUAAGAUGCCGCCAAGAGGAUACAAAUUACUUUGUCCUAAGUUGCCAAUAGGAUCCAAAAUAGAUAUCGAAAUGCUGAACUAAAUUGGGCAUUAGCAUUUCUAUGUUAACACUGGAGGAACUCAAGGAGUGAGAGAUCAAUUCCAUAGCCAAGCACUUCUCAGAUAGAUGCAUCAGAAAAGCAACUGGAUUCAAUAGAAUUACAAUGACGAGGACCAGCCUGAAUUUGUAAGUCAUGGGGAGGCAAUUAUUCCCGGGGAGGUAUAAUAAUAAUACCCCCCAGCAAGAGGAGGACCGUCUUCCUUGUUUUUAUCCAUCAAAAUACAGGACCAUUAAAAAAAAAAAAAAAAAAAUUGCAUCUGGCACAGAAAAAUGUCACUUGCAUGAUCCAAGAAGCAAUCCGCCGAGCUAUAAGUGACACUCUUUGACAUAGAAGGCAGACUGCAUAGCAAUUGGAUGGUAAUGGAAAUCUAUUUUAACAAAAUCAACUUGCAUUCAAAAACCUCAAGCAUCUCAAUCAAAUCAUUCCAUUAAGUAUCACCCAUUUAAAAGGGAGGAAACAGCUUAUCAUAAGCAAAGCGAAGAUACAGUGAUGGAUAAUAAUAAUUGAUACAAGAAAAAUACUACACCCUUCACUUUUGAGGUUGAAGCACACGCAGACUCGUCCAAGACCUCCAUAAUGAUAUAAA